CCUAACAGUACCAUUUAGAGAUGACUCUAAAUCAGAUGUAUAGAUAUUGUAUAAUAAUGGACUUAAUACAGACCCUUGUGGUAGUCCUCUCCACACUAAACGAGAAAUUCUAUUUUUGUCAUCUAUAAGAAGACUGAUGGACCGUUCAGAUAAAAGGAAGUACAUCAUCAGCUGCUUCUGUGAUCACCCGGGCCAAAGCAACCGAGCAACCAACUACGUCAGUAUCAUCUAAACUAGGCAAAAACAAUAAUUUCUUCUCUACACAGCACUUAAAGUUUUUCCAGUUAGCAUUACAUAGAUUGUAUUUAAGCCUAGGGCUAGGUUUCGGAGAUAGUCGUGUAGAUGAAGGAAAUGAGACUAUAAUUGGAAAAUGAUCACUACCAAAUGUAGAAUCUAGAGUUUGCCAGGUGAAAGAAGAUGCCAGUUCAGCAGAGCAAAUGGAUAGAUCAACAGCGCUGGGUGAUUCUGUAGGCGCUGUACGGCGAGUUGGAGAGCCAGUAUUUAGGACACAAAAAUUGUGAUCAUCUAAAAUUUUUAAAACACGGAUGUCCAUUAUAGUUGGAUACUGAACUGCCCCAAAACUGAUAUGGUGUGAAUUGAAAUCUCCUAGAAUCAACAAGGAAGAGAGGAAAUUAUUUGUUCUAAUUCAUUAAAAAUAGAAGAUGAUUGAUGAGGAAUAUAUACAGAGAGAAUGCAGAUGUUAUUUACAAUGGCAGCAAUAAUUGAAAAAUCAUCACUAUGAGAUGGGAGAUGAAGAGAUGAAAAUGAUUCAGAAUUCCUGACGAGUAAAGCUACCUCCACCCCACCCGUCAGGACGGUCCUCUCUGAGGCAUGAAUAGCCAGUAGCUCUUAGAAGAGCUCCAGGCUUGAGCCAUGUCUCAGAUAAGGCAAAAACAAAAGGUUUAAAUUUAUUUAGUAAAUGAAUGAAAUCAUGUUUUUUAUUGAUUACGCUUCUGCAAUUCCAUUGUAUUAUAUUGUGUCCAUUGUUUUUAAUUGCAAAUGUAAGAGUCAAUCAUAGGGGCAACGUGGGACGGUAAAGUAAGGUUUGGUUUGGACAAAAGAGUUCUUAAGGCCUCAAUAGACUCAGCAAUUACUAGUCGUUCUUCCUUUUCUGUUUCCGGACGUAGAGCACAACCAUUUGGAGGAGAAGGGAUGGAGUGUUCAUUUAUAAUGGCCCGAUGUGCAGCCACAUCAUAGCCAUGGGUAGUCUUUUUAAAACGUAGUGAUUAUAUGCUCUUUGAAAGUGUUUUAUUCCACAAGAUUUAACGUAGAAAAAAGCACAAAAUGAGGGUAGCCCCCUCGUGGCGACCCUAGCGAAUAACUACACUGACAGACAGACAAAUGUGUAAGCUAGUACUACCACCAAACUCCACGUAGAUUACAAUUGUGCUGAAUUUACUGCGAGCCUAGCCAAGAUGACUAUCGCGCAAACGAUAGUCAUCUAUCUUGGCUAGGCCCGCUGAUCUGAUGACAACGCAACGUUAUUGAGUAGGGCUCUCUAGUCUUAUAUUAGGAUAGAUACUGAUAGUUGAACGAAAAGUGCAACAGCGAUAAAAGGUUGUUCUCCAAAUGAUAACCAGGCAACUGUAAUGUUAUGAUUUAUUACGCUUGUAAUGAAUACAGUUAUUAGUUUUGUAAAUACAGCAAUGUAAUAUUAGUAAUAUUACAAACAUCGGUAUAGUUAUUACCUACAAUUAAAAUAAAACUAUGACAAUAAUUAAA